GAUGAACGCUGGCGGCGUGCCUAAUACAUGCAAGUCGAGCGAACAGAUGAGGAGCUUGCUCCUCUGACGUUAGCGGCGGACGGGUGAGUAACACGUGGAUAACCUACCUAUAAGACUGGGAUAACUUCGGGAAACCGGAGCUAAUACCGGAUAAUAUAUUGAACCGCAUGGUUCAAUAGUGAAAGACGGUUUUGCUGUCACUUAUAGAUGGAUCCGCGCCGCAUUAGCUAGUUGGUAAGGUAACGGCUUACCAAGGCAACGAGGCGUAGCCGACCUGAGAGGGUGAUCGGCCACACGGGAAGUGAGACACGGUCCAGACUCCUGCGGGAGGCAGCAGUAGGGAAUCUUCCGCAAUGGGCGAAAGCCUGACGGAGCAACGCCGCGUGAGUGAUGAAGGUCUUCGGAUCGUAAAACUCUGUUAUUAGGGAAGAACAAAUGUGUAAGUAACUAUGCACGUCUUGACGGUACCUAAUCAGAAAGCCACGGCUAACUACGUG
rnacentral:rRNA from 1 species